rnacentral:rRNA from 1 species
UACGAAGGGGCUAGCGUUGCUCGGAAUCACUGGGCGUAAAGGCGCGUAGGCGGCCGAUCAAGUCAGGGUGAAAGCCUGUGGCUCAACCACAGAAUGGCCUUUGAUACUGUUCGGCUCGAGACCGGAAGAGGUUGGUGGAACUGCGAGUGUAGAGGUGAAUUCGUAGAUAUUCGCAAGAACACCAGUGGCGAAGGCGGCCAACUGGUCCGGUUCUGACGCUGAGCGCGAAAGCGUGGGAGCAACAGG